rnacentral:tRNA from 1 species
GCCCUCGUAGCUCAAGAGCAGAGCACUUCCCUGGUACGGAAGAGAUCCGGGUGCGACUCCCGGCGCGGGCUUCA